UGGGGAAUAUUGGACAAUGGGCGAAAGCCUGAUCCAGCAAUGCCGCGUGAGUGAUGAAGGCCUUAGGGUUGUAAAGCUCUUUUGCCAGGGAUGAUAAUGACAGUACCUGGAGAAUAAGCUCCGGCUAACUCCGUGCCAGCAGCCGCGGUAAUACGGAGGGAGCUAGCGUUGUUCGGAAUUACUGGGCGUAAAGCGCACGUAGGUGGCUUUGUAAGUCAGAGGUGAAAUCCCGGGGCUCAACCCCGGAACUGCCUUUGAAACUACAUCGCUAGAGUCUUGGAGAGGUUAGUGGAAUUCCGAGUGUAGAGGUGGAAUUCGUAGAUAUUCGGAAGAACACCAGUGGCGAAGGCGACUAACUGGACAAGUACUGACACUGAGGUGCGAAAGCGUGGGGAGCAAACAGGAUUAGAUACCCCCGUAGUCC
rnacentral:rRNA from 1 species